GAUCACGUCGGGGUCACCAGUUUGGUCG
rnacentral:sRNA from 1 species